GACGAACGCUGGCGGCGUGCCUAACACAUGCAAGUCGAGCGGAGAUAUUAGCAAUAAUAUUUUAGCGGCGGACGGGUGAGUAACGCGUGGGCAACCUGCCUUUCACUGGAGGAUAACACAGAGAAAUUUGUGCUAAUACCGCAUAACAUCACGAGAUGACAUCAUCUUGUGAUCAAAGGAGUAAUCCGGUUAUUGAUGGGCCCGCGUCCGAUUAGCUAGUUGGUGGUGUAACGGACCACCAAGGCGACGAGCGGUAGCCGAACUGAGAGGUUUAUCGGCCAAAUUGGGACUGAGAGACGGCCCAGACUCCUACGGGAGGCAGCAGUGGGGAAUAUUGCGCAAUGGGGGAAACCCUGACGCAGCAACGCCGCGUGAAGGAUGAAGGUUUUCGGAUUGUAAACUUCUUUGAUUGGGGACGAAAUAAAUGACGGUACCCAAAAAACAAGCCACGGCUAACUACGUGCCAGCAGCCGCAGUAA
rnacentral:rRNA from 1 species